CUUACGACGAGAUCGAAUUCUGAUUUGUUUAGUUUCAAGAGGUAGAGUAGGCCAAAGAGAUCGUCUGUGUCGACAUCUGUGUCCACUAGAAUACGGUGUGGGCUAGACAGAACACAGUGGAGAUUUUGUCCUAAGAAUCCGACGAUGAUGAGGAAGAACCAUAAACUCUUGCAAGAUGGACUCAUCGACAUCUUUUAGAAGGAGAAGAAGAAGCACAAAGAUGACUACAGUGAAACAGAGGAUGAAGAUGAAUGAGAGUUUUUUUUUUUUUUUGCUAAAAGAUGACUGAGAGUUGAGGAAUAUCUUUCUUGUUUGAUCUAAAACAAGACCUGUUUCUCCAAAUGGGCGAGACCCAAAAGAUAUCAGAUCAAGUAACCUAUAAUAUAUAAAAGCGAUAUGAAAGAAAAGGUAAUAAGAAUGAGAAAGUUGGUUCCUAUGUAUGUGGAUGCUAUGAGGAAUCAGCUUAAA